rnacentral:sRNA from 2 species
GAAACUGCUGUGCGUGUGUCCGCGAUGCUACUUCUACUGCUGUGGGGAGUUGGAACUAUACAAAGGCAACUCCCACACAGCUGAGAUGAAGUUACAGAGAGAGAUAUUUGUAGAUGGUUACGCUCUAUUCAUAUGCCAUUGCUAACUAGUUAUUGAAUACUAGUACCAAAUGAACACCCAUUGGCGAUCAACAGACAGACACAGGCAGAGAAACAGAAGCUCGUAUAUCACAAGCACUGCGCAGCCGGGCGUAUAUCUACUAGCACUAGUAGUUAUCUACUCUGUAUAGCUAGCUAGCUGCCUCAGGGGCUAUGCACCAAUCCUGCUGCACCGAUAUUCCUGUCCUCUCUCUCUCUCUAUUGCCUUCAUCCUAUGCCAUUCGAUAUAUAUAAAUGGGCCAAAUAACUUCCAGAUCCUCCUCUCCGAGAAGUUACAUGUAUUUACUGUACAUCUGUACAUUAUCUAACUAUAUCAAAUGGAUGCAUGACCCAACUAGUCAAGAAGCAUGAAUCCAUGCCCCCCC